rnacentral:rRNA from 1 species
UGGGGAAUAUUGCACAAUGGGCGCAAGCCUGAUGCAGCCAUGCCGCGUGUAUGAAGAAGGCCUUCUGGUUGUAAAGUACUUUCAGUCGGGAGGAAGGUGGUAAGGUUAAUAACCUUAUCAAUUGACGUUACCGACAGAAGAAGCACCGGCUAACUCCGUGCCAGCAGCCGCGGUAAUACGGAGGGUGCAAGCGUUAAUCGGAAUUACUGUGCGUAAAGCGCACGCAGGCGGUUGAUUGAGUCAGAUGUGAAAUCCCCGGGCUUAACCCGGGAAUUGCAUCUGAUACUGGUCAGCUAGAGUCUUGUAGAGGGGGGUAGAAUUCCAGGUGUAGCGGUGAAAUGCGUAGAGAUGUGGAGGAAUACCGGUGGCGAAGGCGGCCCCCUGGACAAAGACUGACGCUAAGGUGCGAAAGCGUGGGGAGCAAACAGG